CAGCCGCCACGGUAAUACGAAGGGGGCAAGCGUUGUUCGGAAUUACUGGGCGUAAAGGGCGCGUAGGCGGUGCACUAAGUCAGGCGUGAAAGCCCUGGGCUCAACCCGGGAACUGCGCUUGAUACUGGUGCGCUUGAAUCCAGGAGAGGUUGGUGGAAUUCCCAGUGUAGAGGUGAAAUUCGUAGAGAUUGGGAAGAACACCGGUGGCGAAGGCGGCCAACUGGACUGGUAUUGACGCUGAGGCGCGAAAGCGUGGGGAGCAAACAGGAUUAGAUACCCCGGUAGUCCCUGUCUCUUAUAC
rnacentral:rRNA from 1 species